rnacentral:rRNA from 1 species
GACGAACGCUGGCGGCGUGCCUAAUACAUGCAAGUAGAACGCUGAAGGAGGAGCUUGCUCUUCUGGAUGAGUUGCGAACGGGUGAGUAACGCGUAGGUAACCUGCCUGGUAGCGGGGGAUAACUAUUGGAAACGAUAGCUAAUACCGCAUAAGAGUAGAUGUUGCAUGACAUUUGCUUAAAAGGUGCAAUUGCAUCACUACCAGAUGGACCUGCGUUGUAUUAGCUAGUUGGUGGGGUAACGGCUCACCAAGGCGACGAUACAUAGCCGACCUGAGAGGGUGAUCGGCCACACUGGGACUGAGACACGGCCCAGACUCCUACGGGAGGCAGCAGUAGGGAAUCUUCGGCAAUGGACGGAAGGCUGACCGAGCAACGCCGCGUGAGUGAAGAAGGUUUUCGGAUCGUAAAGCUCUGUUGUAAGAGAAGAACGAGUGUGAGAGUGGAAAGUUCACACUGUGACGGUAUCUUACCAGAAAGGGACGGCUAACUACGUG